GGUCUGAUGCGCCUGGCCUGCCAGCUCUUAGCUGGUGUGUGCCGGGUCGCGUCUGCCAUCCUUGUUAGGUACUCUACUACCCUUCACUGGGCUGGUAGCAGUUAUCUAACAUCUUUUACUUUGAGAAAAUUAGAGUGUUUAAAGCAGGCUGUCUUAUGCUCUGAAUACAUUAGCAUGGAAUAAUAAUUUAGGACUUCGGUUCUAUUUUGUUGGUUCUUAGGACUGAAGUA
rnacentral:rRNA from 1 species